rnacentral:piRNA from 1 species
UCCGUGAGUCUGAGAAGCACAGCCA